rnacentral:rRNA from 1 species
GAAGUUUUCAGAGAUGAGAAUGUGCCUUCGGGAACCGUGAGACAGGUGCUGCAUGGCUGUCGUCAGCUCGUGUUGUGAAAUGUUGGGUUAAGUCCCGCAACGAGCGCAACCCUUAUCCUUUGUUGCCAGCGGUUAGGCCGGGAACUCAAAGGAGACUGCCAGUGAUAAACUGGAGGAAGGUGGGGAUGACGUCAAGUCAUCAUGGCCCUUACGACCAGGGCUACACACGUGCUACAAUGGCAUAUACAAAGAGAAGCGACCUCGCGAGAGCAAGCGGACCUCAUAAAGUAUGUCGUAGUCCGGAUUGGAGUCUGCAACUCGACUCCAUGAAGUCGGAAUCGCUAGUAAUCGUGGAUCAGAAUGCCACGGUGAAUACGUUCCCGGGCCUUGUACACACCGCCCGUCACACCAUGGGAGUGGGUUGCAAAAGAAGUAGGUAGCUUAACCUUCGGGAGGGCGCUUACCACUUUGUGAUUCAUGACUGGGGUGAAGUCGUAACAAGGUAACCGUAGGGGAACCUGCGGUUGGAUCACCUCCUU